GGAUAGCUCAGUUGGUUAGAGCAUGGUGCUGAUAAAUACCAUGGUCACAGGUUCAAUUCCCAUGUGGGACA